UACGUAGGGUGCAAGCGUUAAUCGGAAUUACUGGGCGUAAAGCGUGCGCAGGCGGUUUUGCAAGACAGAUGUGAAAUCCCCGGGCUUAACCUGGGAACUGCAUUUGUGACUGCACGGCUAGAGUGCGGCAGAGGGGGAUGGAAUUCCGCGUGUAGCAGUGAAAUGCGUAGAUAUGCGGAGGAACACCGAUGGCGAAGGCGAUCCCCUGGGCAGGCACUGACGCUCAUGCACGAAAGCGUGGGGAGCAAACAGG
rnacentral:rRNA from 1 species